CAAUUUGGUCUCAGAAUAAAGAAGCUGAAGAAGAAGGAACCUCUCUCCCUCUCUUUCCAUAUACUCCUUUGUUUGCCUCUUCUUCAAGGAGAAUCAAAGUUGGAAGGAUUUUCUUUUAGGCUUGAACUUGGCUAAUAUGGCUAGAAACGGCACUGUUUCUCGGCGAUUCAGAAGGUCAGAGAAGGUUGACACUGCCUUUGAGUUUUCGCCUAUUAUGGAUUCUGAAGAGGUUCAUGUUUUAGCCGUCGAUGACAGCUUAGUUGAUCGGAAAGUCAUUGAGCGGUUACUCAAAAUUACUUCCUGUAAAGUUACUGCUGUUGAUAGCGGAAGAAGAGCUCUGCAAUUUCUUGGUUUAGAUGAGGAGAAGACCUCUUCUGUCGGAUUCGAUGGUUUGAAGGUGGAUCUGAUCAUCACAGAUUAUUGUAUGCCUGGAAUGACUGGAUAUGAACUUCUCAAGAAAAUAAAGGAAUCAUCUACUUUCAAGCAAAUACCGGUGGUGAUUAUGUCUUCUGAGAACGUUUUGACUCGCAUAGACAGGUGUUUGGAGGAAGGAGCAGAGGAUUUCAUAGUAAAACCGGUGAAACUAGCAGAUGUAAAGAGGAUCAGAGAUUAUAUGACGAAAGAGGUGAAAAUAGAAUCCGAAGAGAGUGGAAUUAACAAGAGAAAGCUACGAGAGUCGUUUGAUCUCUCUUCAUCACCACCGUCACUUUCAUCAUCACCAUCAUCUUUAUCAUCUCCGUCAUCACCCUCGCCGUCAAGAUCACCGUUGUCGUCAUCCCUAUCGGCGCCAUCCUCACCCACGCCGAUAGAUUCCCCAAUCAGACGGCUCAAAAUGACCAACUCAAAUUAUUAGAUCUGCCAAAUCAUCAAUACGAAAAAGAAAAGAAAAAUUGAAAUGCCCUGCAAUCUCUGCAAAUUACUUUUUUUUUUAAUUAUAAUUUUUAAUUUAAAAAUUUUCUUAUGGGUUAAACUGCACUUACCCAUUAGGCCUUAACGGUUUUUUGUUGCACUACCGUUCUUUUUCAUUUGGCGUUUAUUUAUAUCGUUUGUUGAUA